GCGGGCGGGCGCGAUGGCGGAGGCCGGGCCACAGGCGCCGCCGCCCCCGGGCACUCCAAGCCGGCACGAAAAGAGCCUGGGACUGCUCACCACCAAGUUCGUGUCCCUUCUGCAGGAGGCCAAGGACGGCGUGCUUGACCUCAAGCUGGCAGCUGACACCCUAGCUGUACGCCAGAAGCGGCGGAUUUACGACAUUACCAAUGUUUUGGAAGGUAUCGGGCUAAUCGAGAAAAAGUCCAAGAACAGCAUCCAGUGGAAGUGAGUGGGCAUAGUGGGAGGGUAGUAGAGUCUCCCACCCAGAAGUGUCGGGCGUGGGGUGGAGGGUGCCGAAGAAGGCAGGGGCCAUGGGACCCAGAGUUCUCAGCAGUCCCUCUCAGCCCCACUCCCUGGGCUCAGGGGUGUGGGGCCUGGCUGCAAUACCCGGGAGAUUGCUGACAAACUGAUUGAGCUCAAGGCAGAGAUCGAGGAGCUGCAGCAGCGGGAGCAAGAACUAGACCAGCACAAGGUGUGGGUGCAGCAGAGCAUCCGGAACGUCACAGAGGACGUGCAGAACAGCUGUUUGGCCUACGUCACUCAUGAGGACAUCUGCAGAUGCUUUGCUGGAGAUACCCUCUUGGCCAUCCGGGCCCCAUCAGGCACCAGCCUGGAGGUGCCCAUCCCAGAGGGUCUCAAUGGGCAGAAGAAGUACCAGAUUCACCUGAAGAGUGUGAGUGGUCCCAUUGAGGUUCUGCUGGUGAACAAGGAGGCAUGGAGCUCACCCCCUGUGGCUGUGCCUGUGCCACCACCUGAAGAUUUGCUCCAGAGCCCAUCUGCUGUUUCUACACCUCCACCUCUGCCCAAGCCUGCCCUAGCCCAGUCCCAGGAAGCCUCACGUCCAAAUAGUCCUCAGCUCACUCC
rnacentral:sRNA from 1 species